rnacentral:rRNA from 1 species
AGUGAACGCUGGCGGUAGGCCUAACACAUGCAAGUCGAACGGCAGCACAGUAAGAGCUUGCUCUUACGGGUGGAGAGUGGCGGACGGGUGAGGAAUACAUCGGAAUCUACUUUUUCGUGGGGGAUAACGUAGGGAAACAUACGCUAAUACCGCAUACGACCUACGGGUGAAAGCAGGGGAUCUUCGGACCUUGCGCGAUUGAAUGAGCCGAUGUCGGAUUAGCUAGUUGGCGGGGUAAAGGCCCACCAAGGCGACGAUCCGUAGCUGGUCUGAGAGGAUGAUCAGCCACACUGGAACUGAGACACGGUCCAGACUCCUACGGGAGGCAGCAGUGGGGAAUAUUGGACAAUGGGCGCAAGCCUGAUCCAGCCAUACCGCGUGGGGGAAGAAGGCCUUCGGGUUGUAAAGCCCUUUUGUUGGGAAAGAAAAGCAGCAGGUUAAUACCCCGCUGUUCUGACGGUACCCAAAGAAUAAGCACCGGCUAACUUCGUG